rnacentral:rRNA from 1 species
GACGAACGCUGGCGGCGUGCUUAACACAUGCAAGUCGAACGGAAAGGCCCUGCUUGCCGGGUACUCGAGUGGCGAACGGGUGAGUAACACGUGGGUGAUCUGCCCUGCACUUCGGGAUAAGCCUGGGAAACUGGGUCUAAUACCGGAUAGGAGCCAUUUUUAGUGUGAUGGUUGGAAAGUUUUUUCGGUGUAGGAUGAGCUCGCGGCCUAUCAGCUUGUUGGUGGGGUAAUGGUCUACCAAGGCGGCGACGGGUAGCCGGCCUGAGAGGGUGGACGGCCACAUUGGGACUGAGAUACGGCCCAGACUCCUACGGGAGGCAGCAGUGGGGAAUAUUGCACAAUGGGCGCAAGCCUGAUGCAGCGACGCCGCGUGGGGGAUGACGGCCUUCGGGUUGUAAACUCCUUUCGCUAGGGACGAAGCUUUUUGUGACGGUACCUAGAUAAGAAGCACCGGCUAACUACGUG